GAUUGAUCACGUUUUGUUGGCAUGGUCGCGUAAAACAUAACCAAAAAGCGGCUUUUAUCUGUCA
rnacentral:sRNA from 1 species